GACGAACGCUGGCGGCGUGCUUAACACAUGCAAGUCGAACGGAAAGGCUCUGCUUUUGUGGGGUGCUCGAGUGGCGAACGGGUGAGUAACACGUGAGUAACCUGCCCUUGACUUUGGGAUAACUUCAGGAAACUGGGGCUAAUACCGGAUAGGAGCUCCUGCUGCAUGGUGGGGGUUGGAAAGUUUCGGCGGUUGGGGAUGGACUCGCGGCUUAUCAGCUUGUUGGUGGGGUAGUGGCUUACCAAGGCUUUGACGGGUAGCCGGCCUGAGAGGGUGACCGGCCACAUUGGGACUGAGAUACGGUCCAGACUCCUACGGGAGGCAGCAGUGGGGAAUAUUGCACAAUGGGCGGAAGCCUGAUGCAGCAACGCCGCGUGCGGGAUGACGGCCUUCGGGUUGUAAACCGCUUUCGCCUGUGACGAAGCGUGAGUGACGGUAAUGGGUAAAGAAGCACCGGCUAACUACGUG
rnacentral:rRNA from 1 species